rnacentral:rRNA from 1 species
CAAUAGCGUAUAUUUAAGUUGUUGCAGUUAAAAAGCUCGUAGUUGGAUUUCGGAUAGGAACGAAUGGUCCGUCAAUGAUGUGUACUGUUUGUUCCUAUCUUUCUGUCAAUGCGGCAUUAUGGCCUUCAUUGGUUGUAGUGUGGCGGUUGACGCUGUUACUUUGAAAAAAUUAGAGUGUUCAAAGCGGGCUUACGCAUGAAUACAUUAGCAUGGGAUAACAUUAGAGGACUUUGUUCCUAUUUUGUUGGUCUUCGGGAACGAAGUAAUGAUUAAGAGGAACAGUUGGGGGCAUUCGUAUUUCAUUGUCAGAGGUGAAAUUCUUGGAUUUAUGAAAGACGAACUUCUGCGAAAGCAUUUGCCAAGGAUGUUUUCAUUGAUCAAGAACGAAAGUUGGGGCUCGAAGACGAUCAGAUACCGU